rnacentral:lncRNA from 1 species
AUAAAUAGAAAUUCCAUUUAUAGAAACGUGAUAGAUUACAAUUCUUUCAAACCCCAAUUCCAGUGUGUUUCUUUUUUGGUCUAAAAAUGAAAAGAAACACAAAAUAAAAGAAACACAACAUGAAAGAUACAUAAUUAAUGAAUGUUCACAGAAAAAAAACUCAAUUCAGACCUUAAAGCUCCAAUGACACCAUCUACCAAAGUAAAAACAAAGCAAAAGUAUAACCUUAAUAUUGUAAUCACCCCUAUCCAUCACCUGCUGCAACAGAGCAAGUAUGUUCCUGAAGUCUGCAUAUGUAUCUCCAAUUCUAUCAUCAUACUUUCAAUUUACUUAUUUUAUGAGUCUGCAAAACAAUAAGAAAAUUGUGUCAACUUGGCAAAUAUUUGUACAAUUUGGGUGUUUUAAGCUAAUUACCGGUUAAAAUUCGGUGGAUUAGCAAUAUUUGUCAACAUUUAAUGGCUAAAAGUAUAUGAAAUAUCAAUACAUAAUUAAUUUUAUAAACGUUAAAACAUUCAAUUGUGAACUUAUGAACACAAUUCACUUUAGCAAAAAUUCAAUAAGCAAUGUGUUAAAAACAUUCUAAGCAUACUUUAUUGAUAGUUAACUAACCAACUAUAAUAAAUCUAAUAUUAGUGUCAAAGAUAAUAAUCAAUUUCUUUAAGCACACGGCCAAACUUAAACAACCCCUUUAAUAUAUAAUCAAAAAUUACUUACUGGUUGCAUUUUGUUGGGCCAAUUGUGGUCUGAUUUUCCCCUGGUGUAUCCUUUGUUGAGAGAGAGCAAGAGACCCAUUUGCCUUGAUUUGAGAAUUCCAAUUGUAGGGCUGAUGAUGUUCAUACCCAUUUGCAUUCCUUGCAGUGAUUGAAGAUACAAAUAUGACUAUUCAUCACAUGUAUUUGAUUAUCCCAAACACAUUCGUUACAUGUAAUUUGCCAAUUAGACUAUAAUUAACUAAUUGAAAGAGAUACCUGAAUGAAAUUGGUGUAGAGUAGUAGAAGUAUCCUGCAUGAAUAAUUAUAACAAAUAACAUUAAUUAGAAAUGUGAACUAACAUGAACUGUGCUGAUAUCAUCUGCUGUUAUGCCUUUAAGCAAGCUUCUUGUCAGCUUCGUUGAAUAUAUAAGUAAAAUUAGACUAUACUUAAGUAUUCUAAAUCUUUUAGUUGUUCUAGAUGAUGAAAAACAAAAACCAUUCGGUUGAACUAUAACCUUGAACCAAUAAAAAAUGCCAACAAAUAAAUACGGAAUAAAGAACCUUGAUGAAUGUAAUUUCUCUAAGUUGUUUCUCCGGACAAAUAUAUUCCAUUUUCCGAACGGCAGACUAAGCAAUUUCCCCUCUAAUCAUACUCAAACUCAAACUCUUAAAUGCUCGGAAAGCCAAAAUGUUGAUUUGAUUUCACGAAAAUUUGCAUAUGAGUUUAUUUCAGGAACGGUCGAUUAGCGUUCCAACCAAUUGAUUCGGGUAACUGCGUAUGCUGACCGUUACAGAAAGUCUGAAACGUGUAUAACUCAGGUAACCAAUGAUUGCUGCUUUGGCAAGGCCUGCAACACAAAACCAACAAAAUUAAAAUAUUUUUCAUUAAGAAAGAAAAAAGAAGAAAUUAUUGGUAGAGUAUUCAAGUACUUUAUUACACAUGUAAU